UAAAAAUUUUAUGAUUUUGUAAAUUUAAUUUAAAUUUAAUUUACAUAUAAAUUUUAGUGUUAAUUUUAUAUUAUUUUAAUAAUUUUAUAUGAAUUAAAUUAGUAAUUAAUAUUAAAAAUUUAAGAAAUUAAGAUUUAGUAAUAUUUAUAAUUAUGAACAAAUUUUGUGCCAGCAGUUGCGGUUAUACAAAAUAUAAUUUAAAUUUUAUUAGUGAAUAAUAAUUAUAUUUAUUAAAAAAAAAUUAAAUAAAAAAAAUUAUUAGGUGAAAUUUUAAUUUAUUAAAAAUUUUUAAUUAAGUUAUGUUUUAAAAAAUUUUAUAAAAAACUAGGAUUAGAUACCCUAUUAUUAAAAAUUAAAUUAAAAUACUAAAAAAGUAGAUAAUAAUUUAUUGAAACUUAAAUAAGUUGGCGGUAUUUUAGUUCAUUUAGAGGAAUCUGUCUAAUAAUUGAUAAUCCACGAAUAAAUUUACUUAAUUUAUAAUUUUGUAUAUCGUUGUUAAAAAAAUAUUUAAUAAUAAUAAUAAUAUUUCAUAAUUAUAAAAAAAAAUAGUUCAGAUCAAGAUGCAGAUAAUAAUUAAGAAUAUGAUGGAUUACAAUAAUGAUUAUAAUAAUUAAAUGGAUUUUAUUUUGGAAAAAAUAAAUGAAGGUGGAUUUAAAUGUAAUUUUAUUUAGUUUAUUAAAAUGAUUAUAAAUUAAAAUAUGUACAUAUUGCCCGUCACUUUCAUUAAAAAAUUGAAAUAAGUCGUAACAAAGUAGAGGUACUGGAAAGUGUUUCUAGAAAGAA
rnacentral:ncRNA from 1 species